AUUGAACGCUGGCGGCAUGCCUAACACAUGCAAGUCGAACGGGGGCAGCAAUGCCCUAGUGGCGGACGGGUGAGGGAUACGUAGGAACCGGCCCACGAGUGGGGGACAACCUGGGGAAACCCAGGCUAAUACCGCAUACGCUCGCGAGAGGAAAGCGGGGGGACCUUCGGGCCUCGCGCUGGUGGACGGGCCUACGUCCGAUUAGCUAGUUGGUGGGGUAAAAGCCUACCAAGGCGACGAUCGGUAGCUGGUCUGAGAGGAUGAUCAGCCACACUGGGACUGAGACACGGCCCAGACUCCUACGGGAGGCAGCAGUGGGGAAUAUUGGACAAUGGGCGCAAGCCUGAUCCAGCAAUGCCGCGUGGGUGAAGAAGGCCUGCGGGUUGUAAAGCCCUUUAAGCGGGGAGGAAAGCCGGGGUGUGAAUAGCGCCUCGGGGUGACGUUACCGCAGAAUAAGCACCGGCUAACUCCGUGCCAGCAGCCGCGGUAAU
rnacentral:rRNA from 1 species